CUCAGCAACCCUCCACCUACUAAUUAGCAAACAGCUCCUAAACAAAGUAUUAAAAUUUCUGACUUCUUAAAUAAAGCUAUAAAAAAAUGAGAGCAGUUUCGGGCAUAUAUUUUCCUCCUUUCUUCUUCUCCUCUGCUCUAUUGCCAGCGAAUUUCAUCUGUUGGUCUUCUCCUCAUUAUUCCGUCUACGUCUGUCCUCUUCCUCAAUUGCAGAAGAGAGAUCCCCAAAGGCUCCAUCCUUUCUUCUAACAUCAGAAAGAGAUGCCUCCCAGAGGCUAUGUUCUGGUCUUUUUCUUCUGGGCUCUGCUCGCCAUCAUCACCCCAACUCUCAUCUUUUGGUCAGCAUCAGCAAAGUCCAAUCUGGAUCCUCGAGGAGAGUUUAAGAAUGAAAUAAGGCCCAGAAGAAUGAUGGGUUCUAUAGAGAAUGGCUACAAAAAGAAUACAACAACGACGACAGCAACACAAGCACCAGCACUGGCACCGGGGCCGGGGCCGGGGCCGGGGCCGGCACCGGUGACAGCGAAUGAAACACGGAGGUAACAGAGAUUUUGAUGUAUUUAUUUUUACUUUUAUUUUCUUAGGACGGAGUGGAGGAUAGAAGAGGAGAGAUUGGUAGCAAAGGGAUGUUAUGAUCAAUUGGAGUUCUUAUUUACAAGAAUGGUGUGUGGAUCAUUCCUCUGCCAUUUUAGAAGGGGAGAGGGAUUUCUUUUUCCCCGUAAUAUUCCCAUAGAAUUGACUGAUACAAUUUUAAUUUGAUUCA